rnacentral:rRNA from 1 species
AGUGAACGCUGGCGGUAGGCCUAACACAUGCAAGUCGAACGGCAGCACAGUAAGAGCUUGCUCUUACGGGUGGCGAGUGGCGGACGGGUGAGGAAUACAUCGGAAUCUACUUUUUCGUGGGGAAUAACGUAGGGAAACUUACGCUAAUACCGCAUACGACCUACGGGUGAAAGCAGGGGAUCUUCGGACCUUGCGCGAUUGAAUGAGCCGAUGUCGGAUUAGCUAGUUGGCGGGGUAAAGGCCCACCAAGGCGACGAUCCGUAGCUGGUCUGAGAGGAUGAUCAGCCACACUGGAACUGAGACACGGUCCAGACUCCUACGGGAGGAAGCAGUGGGGAAUAUUGGACAAUGGGCGCAAGCCUGAUCCAGCCAUACCGCGUGGGUGAAGAAGGCCUUCGGGUUGUAAAGCCCUUUUGUUGGGAAAGAAAAGCAGCAGGUUAAUACCCCGCUGUUCUGACGGUACCCAAAGAAUAAGCACCGGCUAACUUCGUG